AUAUGAAAGUGAAAGUAGAAACCUUGAAACCAUUGUGACUGUUAGUUGGUGUUUAUGUAUGUUGAGAUGGCUGUCAAGUCGAUUCUUUCAUCAACUUAAUAACAAGUGUUUGUUUUUAUGGCCUAUAGAUGCAUGCAGUAACUUGAGUUCAGUGUCACAUUGCUGCGUCUAAAAAGUCCAAAGCUGAUAAGACUGGCGAUUGAUCCUAAAGCUGAUUUGACAGAAGAUUGCAUCUUCACAAUAUUAAAGGUUCAAUAUACAGUCAGCGUCUCAUAAGAAUAAAUCCCAAGAUCCAAGACUUGCUUAAAAGCUUAAUCAAGAGACCAUUAUGUGCCACAAAGAAAUUGUUCAGGAAAGGGAGAAAUGGUGGAUUUGCAUUUCGGGUACAGUUCAAAGAGAGUUCAAAAUGGUCAAGCUCAUGGAAGAUCAGAGGGAGGACAACUGAAGAAAACUGAAAGAUACAGAAGGAAAAAGAACAAGAAAAUAUAUGAAAUAAUUAUGAAAUUGAGAGGAUGUACACAAUCUUGUCUGCAUUUGACCUGUAAAGAUUUAAUUCCCAUUCUUAUUUGUAUGCUGUAAUAUCAAAUAACUUGAUUUUUCAUAAAUUUACAAUAGAGAAUACAUGUCAAAUGUUAUAUGUGAUAUUUCAAUUUUGCUUUGGACACUUUCAUGUCAAAUCAUAUAAAUUAUAAAAAAAGUACAUGGACUUAUUAUGUUAUUCAUUUGUACAUGUAUGCAUGUUUAACUAUUUAAUCAUUUUGUGGAAAUCUUAUAAUUGUACUCAACUUAGAAUAUGUAAAAUAUAUGUAUCGACAAAUGCUACUGACUUGUUUGUAUACUUUCCUGCUUAGAAAGUACACUGAAAAAUAAGUUAUUUCUCUUGAUGAAAAU